AUAUCAUUAAGUAGUCUUCAGAUGUACUCUUGCCGUCAUCAUCAUCUUCUGUUUUUAUAGUCACUGUAGAGCCAGGAACAGUACCAGCUGCCUGAACGACUGCUUCAGAAUCUGAGUUCGUUACAAGGACUUCUUCCGAGACCAUUGUAGGUGAGUCAGCUGCUGACACGGAGUCUUGCACCACGUGCUCUAAAUGUCCAUCAGGACCCGUAACAAGGUCAGCCACAAACACCUGAUCAGGAACUCUAACAGCUUCUGUUAUUAGAUCAGAAGUCAGAACAUGAUCACUGGUAUCUAGUGCUUCUUCAAUAGCCACAUCAGUUUCCAGAACAGAAUCAGGAACAAUGACACCCUCUGUUACAACAUCAGUUUCAGUGAUGAUGUCAGGUCCUUGCACAACUUCAGCUGCUAAGCCAUGGUCAAGAGUUAUUCCAUCAUCAGUAACAACAUCAGAAACAAGGACAGCUUCAGGGACCGACACAACAAUAUGAUCUCCAUCAAUAUGAGCAGUGCCGGCCAUUCCAGCCACUACGGGACAAUUAGGAAUGAGGAGAAAAAGGUUAAAAUUAUUGCAUUAGCAGUGUUUAUCCAAGGAACAGAAUAAUUGCGUAGGUGAGGUAAACACAGAUGUAAAUCUGUUAUUUUUCAACAAUCUACACUUUGCACUUCACCAGAAAAGACUGUUCAAAGUAGUCCAUGUGCUAACAAUGCAUUCACUGGUGACACAACAACAGGACUCCAACUCUUCAGACUGCAGGGGCCUUGAUAAAAAACCGAGAUGGACAAAGCUGUGCUGGCAGGGAACGUGCAGAGCUGUACCCUGGUUGAUGCAACUGGCAUCCAAGCGCCGUAAGUACGCUCUCGUGAUCCCUCGGUGCAGGCAAAGGGCAGAGCAGCACCAGCUAUUAAAUCAGAGAUUUCCUUAUGCCUAAUUUUGGAUUUAGAAGGAA
rnacentral:lncRNA from 1 species